GAUGAACGCUGGCGGCGUGCCUAAUACAUGCAAGUCGAGCGAACAGACGAGGAGCUUGCUCCUCUGAUGUUAGCGGCGGACGGGUGAGUAACACGUGGAUAACCUACCUAUAAUACUGGGAUAACUUCGGGAAACCGGAUCUAAUACCGGAUAACAUGUUGAACCGCAUGGUUCAACAGUGAAAGACGGUCUUGCUGUCACUUAUAGAUGGAUCCGCGCCGCAUUAUCUAGUUGGUAAGGUAACGGCUUACCAAGGCAACGAUGCGUAGCCGACCUGAGAGGGUGAUCGGCCACACUGGAACUGAGACACGGUCCAGACUCCUACGGGAGGAAGCAGUAGGGAAUAUUCCGCAAUGGGCGAAAGCAUGACGGAGAAACGCCGCGUGAGUGAAGAAGGUCUUCGGAUCGUAAAACUCUGUUAUUAGGGAAGAAAAAAUGUGUAAGUAACUAUGCACGUAUUGACGGUACCUAAUCAGAAAGCCACGGCUAACUACGUG
rnacentral:rRNA from 1 species